UUUGGCCAAAAAAAAACGGAACCAACUUGAAAACUUGGGUGAAAUUCCCGGCCCCCUUAAACCCUAAUUUUUUGAACCCCCCUUCGGGCCCCGGGUCCUUCCCGGGGCCACGUCUGUCUGAGGGU
rnacentral:rRNA from 1 species